rnacentral:rRNA from 1 species
UCGGUGAGUCAUAAUAUACUGGCGAAUCGCAAUGUGCGAUAGACCAUUCUCGUCUCUGAACACUCAGCUUGACGGUAAGUGUAUUGGCCUAAACGAGGCAAGCAACCUGUAAAAAGGAAUUAGGGUUCGAUUCCGGAGCACGAGCCUGAGAGACGGCUAGCACAUCUAAGGCAGCCAGCAGGCGCGCAAAUUACCCAAUCCUGACACCGGGGCGUCGGGCCACGAAAUAACAAUACAGGGCCAAUGUCUGGUAAGGUGAAGGAUGGUGACCCAAACCCUCACCAGAGUAGCAAUUGGAGGGCAAGUCUGGUGCCUGCAGCCGCGGUAAUUCCAGCUCCAAUAGCGUAUAUUAAACUUGUUGCAGUUAAAAAGCUCGUAGUUGAAUUUUAGCGUGUUCGAGUUUGCCAUUCGUUUGGCUUUUUCGAGUUCGCUCUUGGGUUUUCCCUUUCUACUUUGAGAAAAUUAGAGUGUUUCAAGCAGACUUUUGUCUUGAAUACUUCAGCAGGGAAUAAUAGAGUAGGACUUUGGUUCCAUUGCGUGGUUAUGAACCUUAGUAAU